rnacentral:lncRNA from 1 species
UUUAUUUUGUCGACAUUAUCCUUGAGGUAAAUAAGUUGGGUGGCAUAUCAUUUAAGCCCAUAUCUCCCUAUGUGUCCCAUGGAAACAUGAGCUCCAAAAAUAUACCUUGAGCGUGAGCAAUCAUAAACGAUUAAAUGAUGGUUGAGUAUGUGAGCUUGCCAAAAACAAAGCUCUUAAAUAGACUCACCUAUGAAAUAUGAUGAAUUAUGAUUGUUCCAAUGACUGAGAACAUAGUUUGUUGAUUGUCAACAAAGUUUAUGCUUCUUACUCCAACAAUUGUG